rnacentral:rRNA from 1 species
UUUUAAGGUCAAGCUACAAAGGGCGCAUGGUGAAUGCCUUGGCACUAGGAGCCGAAGAAGGACGCGAUAAGCUGCGAUAAGCCUUGGGUAGCCGCAAAUAGGCUGAGAUCCAGGGAUUUCCGAAUGAGGAAACUCACAUGGGUAACCCCAUGUAUCAUGCACUGAAUACAUAGGUGUAUGAGGGUAAACCCGGGGAACUGAAACAUCUAAGUACCCGGAGGAAGAGAAAGAAAAAUCGAUUUCCUAAGUAGCGGCGAGCGAACGGGAAAGAGCCCAAACCAGAAACUUGUUUCUGGGGUUGUGGAUAGAUCAUGAAAGAAGAGAUAUCUUAAUCGAAGAGGGCUGGAACGCCCUACCAUAGAAGGUAAUAGUCCUGUAGGUAAAAAGAGAAAACUUUAAGAUCUAAUCCAGAGUACCACGAGACACGUGAAACCUUGUGGGAAGCAGGGAGGACCACCUCCCAAGGCUAAAUACUACCUAGUGACCGAUAGUGAAGCAGUACCGUGAGGGAAAGGUGAAAAGAACCCCGGAAGGGGAGUGAAAUAGAACCUGAAACCGUGUGCCUACAACCGAUCGGAGCACGUUAAAGUGUGACGAUGUGCUUUUUGUAGAACGAGCCAGCGAGUUACACUAUGUAGCAAGGUUAAGUACUUAAGGUAUGGAGCCGAAGGGAAACCGAGUCUGAAAAGGGCGAAAAGUUGCAUGGUGUAGACCCGAAACCGGGUGACCUAUCCAUGGCCAGGUUGAAGCGAGAGUA